rnacentral:rRNA from 1 species
UACGAAGGGGGCUAGCGUUGUUCGGAAUUACUGGGCGUAAAGCGCACGUAGGCGGAUUGUUAAGUUAGGGGUGAAAUCCCGGGGCUCAACCCCGGAACUGCCUUUAAUACUGGCAAUCUCGAGUCCGAGAGAGGUGAGUGGAAUUCCGAGUGUAGAGGUGAAAUGCGUAGAGAUCGGCAGGAACACCCAGGGGGAAACCAGUGGACUGGGCAUGUGCUGACGCUCAGGUGCGAAAGCGUGGGGAGCGAACCGG